UACGUAGGUCCCGAGCGUUGUCCGGAUUUAUUGGGCGUAAAGCGAGCGCAGGUGGUUUAUUAAGUCUGGUGUUAAAGGCAGUGGCUCAACCAUUGUAUGCAUUGGAAACUGGUAGACUUGAGUGCAGGAGAGGAGAGUGGAAUUCCAUGUGUAGCGGUGAAAUGCGUAGAUAUAUGGAGGAACACCGGUGGCGAAAGCGGCUCUCUGGCCUGUAACUGACACUGAGGCUCGAAAACGUGGGGAGCAAACAGG
rnacentral:rRNA from 1 species